rnacentral:lncRNA from 1 species
CUAUUUUAUGGCACGCAGUCAAAGGCAGAGAGCAAGCUCUGUUCAAAUCAAAUCACGUUUUUUUGUCACAUGCGCCGGAUAGAACUUUACCAUGAAAUGCUUACUUAUGAGCCCUUUCCCAACGAUGCAGAGUAAUAAAAAAAACCCACAAGGAAUAAAAUACACAAGAAUGAAGCUAUAUACAGGGAGUACCAGUAGUAUAUCAAUGAGGCAGAUGAAAAUGCGCAGCGCUCCGUUUUUAGGUCAGUGGGACACGGAAUGGCGCUCUCUCUCUCUCCCUUCUUUUGAUCGACGAGUGGAAACAUUGUGACCUUCCUGACAUUCUAGUUUUCAGUUUUCCCUCGCAACUUUGUUUUUAAAACAUACUACACCCUCUAGUAUUGUGUCUGGGUGAAAACCGAGACAGAGGAAGAGAUGGCUCAUCUGGUGGCUGUGGUGAUUCUUUAGGGGAAAGAAAGAGCAGAGCAAAAUAGGAGGGAAUUCCUAGCUGUCUGUCUCUCACUGUGAAAAAAAGACAGAGAAAAGUGUCCUGGAAGGUGUAACCACUAAAACUAUUAUGCAAAUGAGGAAAUGAGGAAGGGAGCUGCCACUGUGAGAAAGAUAUACUGUAAACUAGUAUUAUUAUGUAAUAAAAUGGUCAUACUCUAGAUUGUUAUGAUGAGGUUGAAGCUAGGUCAAGUUGUUAUGAUGAGGUUGAGACUAGAUCUAUAUUGUUAUGAGGUUGAGACUAGGUCAGGUUGUUAUGACAAGGUUGAGACUAGGGUCUAGGUUGUUAUGAUGUGGUUGAUACCAGGUCAGGUUGUUAUGAUGAGGUUGAUACUAGGUCAGGUUGUUAUGAUGAGGUUGAGACUAGAUCUAUAUUGUUAUGAGGUUGAGACUAGGUCAGGUUGUUAUGACAAGGUUGAUACCAGGUCAGGUUGUUAUGAUGAGGUUGAUACUAGGUCAGGUUGUUAUGAUGAGGUUGAGACUAGAUCUAUAUUGUUAUGAG